UAUCCACUGUCAAAUAAUCUGCUCACGGGUAUUGUUAUAAUCUUUCGAGGACGAUCAAAAUUCCUACUAGGACUCAAUCUGUUAUAGAGAAAAUCAUCGGUUGUGAAUCUAAGUUGAAUAAGGUUUGCGACUUGGCGAAAAAGGACGUUUUUAACCGGACGCUACCAAACAUGGAGGGACGGAAGUCGUUUAGCAUUGAUGCACUGUUAUCAAAGACAACCUCGGGUAAGACAUCUAGCCCCGUGCCACCUUCACCUCCCUGCAGCUCACCCCGACCCUCAUCGUCUGGGUCAAGUCAUAUGGGCACCCACACGCCCGAGUCAAGCGUGUCACCCCCCGGGCCGGGGAUGUCCCCCAACACAAGCUUCGUUCCCAGGCCCGGGCUUCUGAACAUCCAACACCCGGCCAUGCUGCAACCCACAAGCCUCGGACUACCCGGCAUGUUCUCCACCCACCCGCUGUACUCGUACCCCGGACAGACCCCCGGGCACCCCCAGAUACCCAUGCUGCCAGGGAGCGCCUUCCACACCCCUGCCGAACAGGCGUUCAAGUUAGCCCAACUCCAAGGCAUCAACUACGCCGAGUGGCUGGCUCGGUCGGGCAUGUACAUGCCAAGAGUAGUCGACUAUCCAGGAAGCUUGUGUUAUGAUGCAGGUGGUGGCCAGGGAGGGCUGGGGAAGACACGCAGACCGAGGACGGCGUUCACGUCGCAGCAGUUGCUGGAGUUGGAGAGACAAUUUAAGCUCAACAAGUACCUGUCAAGACCCAAGAGAUUCGAGGUGGCGACCUCCUUGAUGCUCACAGAAACACAGGUAAAGAUCUGGUUCCAGAAUCGGCGCAUGAAGUGGAAGCGGAGCAAGAAGGCUGCCAUGGAGGCUAAAUGCGGGAAGGAGGAGGACAAGACGCGGUUAGAGGGGACAGACAAACGCACAGACGCACACAAAGUGACGGACGGCGGGGACGAAGUGAACGGUGAUAACAUUGACGUUACGGAAGUGGACAUGGAUGAUUCGGCGGAGACGGAAAUAGACGACAACGAGGACAGUGAUAACGAAAUGUGUGUUUCCCAGAAUUCCACAAACUCUGACCUUGUUUCCGGUGUGUCAAUACCGACGUCGAAUGGCCGAUGUUCUGUCGUUCAGCCUGCACAUGCCUGAUGCAGAGGAAGGCAUUGCGAAUUCUUUUUAUUGGAAGAUCAUCAUCAUCUGAUUCCAUCACAAAGAGAGACAUGGCAAUAUCUUGGAGUCUUCGUGGGAUGCGGACUUCACGCAUUGUGUUCACGUGGCGGCCCACAAUGUCCCAGGACAAAGUGAAUCUCACAGAAACACGAUGGCACCAGGUGGCAGUGUGUAUCUCAGGUCCAGGCCUGACGGACGUAAGUACACGCAGCCGUGUCGAUUGUGAAACAGGCCAUGCGGAUGUUAACAUACGCAUCCGUUUCUCGUGGCUCAGAUCAGGAGGAUAGUACCACACACGGCAUGGUGGCUGUUUAACAGGUCAUGCGGGCCCAAAGAUGAGGGAUAAGCACAGGAGACCGAGUCUUCUGUGGAUCAGGCCAAGAGGACUUUGCACAGGCAACCGUGUCUUCUAUGGAUCAGGCCAAGAGGACUUUGCACAGGCAACCGUGUCUUCUAUGGAUCAGGCCAAGAGGACUUUGCACAGGCAACCGUGUCUUCUAUGGAUCAGGUCAAGAGGACCACAGCACAAGCAACCGUGUCUUCUGUGGAUCAGGUCAAGAGGACCACAGCACAAGCAACCGUGUCUUCUGUGGAUCAGGUCAAGAGGACGUCAGGACACGAAAUCGUGUCGAUUGUGAAUAUGACAUCUAGAAUCUAACGCCAACGCGUAGACCUUGACCUUAGAAGGUCUUGAUUCUUGAGAGAUGAUGAAUAUACUUAAAUGACAUCUAAUUAUCAGUGCCAACUCCAUGACGUCGCCAACAUCAGUAUUUCCUCUAGCCUGACUGGCCAUAUGUUUUGUUACUCAUUGUAGCCUGUCAGACAUGUUAUCAAUGUUCAACCACUUCUUAAAGUCUAUCGAUUGCAAAAUGUGGGUGAUGUAUUCUCAGGGUUUAAGACACCUGUCUCAUUGAGCACCGACGAUGAGGUUAAGCGUACCGAACUAUUGCAGUCCUAAUAGGAAGUUCUGUUGAAGUAAAGAAUAGAGGAUUUAAACAAUUGUAGCAUUAUUGCCCAAUGUAAAUAUGAUCUGAAUGAAUGAAGAGGGUGAACUACGAACCUCCUCUCUGCUAGCUGUUGUUAUCAUGUGUAUAUUUUCCGAUGCAUGGCAGUCGGAUAUUAUGUGUUAAAU
rnacentral:misc_RNA from 1 species